UUAGAGUUCAUUCAUUGAUACAUUGAUACAUAUAUUGAUGAUCAUUUCUUGCUAAUCUUCAUGUUUUUUUUGUAUAAACUUUAUUUAAACACCGGGUUGAACAGGGUCUAAUUAGUUCCGGUCUCAGGUGACUUGCUGACCUCUGCAGGUGAUCAGUGGAAGGACUCACAGGUGUAACUGAUAACGGCUGCAACCCAUUCGGUUCUGUAGCUAAAUGGAACGGAGCCAUGUUGAUGUUCUCGCCCACAGCUGAACCUGCUGCUGUGAGGAACAGAGGAACCUCACCUGGAAGCUCCCAGUCUCUCUCUGCAGACACUCCCUCAGUCUUACCUCACUUCCAUCCCCCACUCCUGCCGUUGCCCUGACAACCGUGACGUCACAGCCGCUCCCUGUCCACAGGUAACUUUCACUUUGUGAGCUCGUCGUGUCGCAGCUUCUUCUUCUGUCCAUGUGAAGUGUUUCCUCUACAGAUGAAGGUAGAAAGUCUCUGGGAGCUGAUGUGGAUGUGAAUUCAGCAGCAGCUGCCAAGGUAACAGGAUUGAUUUUGGAUUAUUGGACUAGCUGCCACUGCAUGCUCUGACUGGAUAUAGUAGACUUGGAAAAAGAGCAACAUUUCAACUGUUGAGGAGCUUUUCAAAAUACUGCAGCUCAAAGUGCCAACAACAUUUCUACUCUGCCAUGGAAACUGUCAGAUGAGUGGAUUUAGUAUUGAGCUGAAUGAGCCGUUUCCUCCAAUCAGAGCUGUGUGUGUUUGUCAUGUGACUGAGAGGAAUAAUGGGAAAUAAUGUGUGAUCUCUCCCAGCAGGUUGCUGUGUCUGUGUGAAGGUGUGGGCUCUGCUAUGGAUCAGUGUGAGGACAGAGAGGAGGGAGUCCCUCCCUCUAAAAG